rnacentral:lncRNA from 1 species
GAACUGUACCAAUUAUCGUCUGCUUCUUUCGGAAAAUUGGCAGUAAGCAUUUGAAUAAAUUCACAUCAUCAGCCUCUUUUCCACUUCACUGCAAAACCCCCAAAACUCGGCUCUCCCAAUUCAAAUUAGAAUCGAGAAAUCGAACACCACAAUACGUGUAAAUGGGACAUCGCAAUUUUGAAAAUCAACAGCAAUAGUGGUGGACGGGCUUCUAAACCUUUUCUUCUAAGCCAAUUGCAACCUCCUUCAUGGUCCACCACCACAAGUUCCAGCAAGUUUUCCCCGGCCAUGUAAUUUCUCUAUUUUUCGCAUUUUUCCUGACAAAGAGUUAUGCGUUUUCAAUUUGCAGACAUUUCUUUUUCCUUUAACAUAAAUCCAUUGUUUGAAUCUGAACUUGGAAAUUUCUUGUUGGGGUGCACAUUUUCACCAUUUCAUAUUUAUACUAUUUAUGCCCCCCCCCCCCCCCCGCCCUUGUGUAUGUAUAUUUUUCAGGCUAAUCCCAUGAAGUUGGUGUCGCAGUUGAAGCAAAUUGAAGGUGGUGACAGUGGGCCGCGGCGAUGGCUACGACGGGUUUGGUGGCUGUGAUUUUGGAUGGGGUAGGAAAGAGGUAGGAAGAUGAUUUUUUUUUUUAUUUCAUUUUUUUUAAUAUGUUUAAUUUUUAAUUAUUUAAUGUCAGAAAAAUGCAAAGCUACUAAUUUACCUUUAAAAUUGGCCAAAUAUGAUCAAAGUCGAAUUUCUUGGUCAACUAACGGUCUUAUGGAUGGAUUACAUCCAUUUGUCCUCCAGCCGCACAUACUUGAAAGGUUUGAGACGACGAAUAAUGUAAAGAAUAUUAUAUGGGCAGAUUCUCAAUAUAAUAUUCCACAAUUGAAAUUGAUGAUGCACUUAAUCACUUGGAAAAAAUAUCUCUAUGUGAUACGUGUUAUUUUGAAUAGCAAUCACAUAUCGUAUGAAUAUGAGGUCACAUAUCUCAUUUUGCAACACUGAACAUAUGAAUACCAGGUCAUAGAUUACAGUGUUCACUAGAAACACAGGUCACAGAAAUGUGACCCGGUAUCAACAGUUCAAGAUUUUUUACGAACAUCAUAUGUCACCUCUAAGUGUUCACGUCUGUUCCAUAACUUCAGGUUACAGUGUUUUAUCUACACUACGACAGAACAAAAAACACUGCAUACGAAAUAUGGAGGUCACACAUUUGAUAGAGGCAAAGUUAUGAUCACAUUUUUUCAUAUUCAACUAAAAACAGUUGCUAUAUGGAAAUCAGGUGACAACCACUAUAUGGAAAUCAUCCACUAGAAACUGACUAAAUAGUGCAACCAUUUUUCAUUGAGAAAAUCAAUGCAUUACUGUCUAGACAUCAAUUCUCAGUUGUACAAUGGAAAAACAUUUGGUCACAAAUGAUUUCAACGUUAUUAUUCCAAUAAUGUUUCGAAUUCAAGAAUGUGACAUAUUGUCACAAUUGAAUAAUGUUUUUAUUCAAGAAUGAAAACUUUGGUGCUUUUAUCAGGCAUUGACACCUACUACAGGUUGUUAUUCUGUCGAUCGUUCUUGCUUGAUGGGACCAAAUUUGAGCAUCUUCAGUGGUUGUGACCAUGUUCACCACAACGUCCACAUCUUAUUUUCGGUUUGCCUCCCCUAGAUGAUCUCUUCCUCUUCUCUGUAGGUCUUUCACAACUCUGUUUUUGGUUAGGAGCUAACACAAUUUGGUUUUGUACUUCAUUGGGAAUUGUCCAUUCGCUUGGGUUUCCAACAGAAUAUAUUGAAUCUUCAUAAACAUUUACAAAUGCAUCCUUUGUGUAAUAAUAUAAAUAGUAAGCAUUUGGAUCCCUUUUUGUAUGUACAAUUACAGACAACGCAUGUGGACAAGUGAAUACAAAGGAAAGCAACCAGUUUGAUUAGUAAAUAGUGAUUGAGUGGUUAUUUCAAAAAGGUUUUUAUGUAUAUAACUAAUAUGGCGAAAAAACGUGUUGUAAUUUUAUUUUCUGUAUGAAAUCUUGCCACUCGAGUUCUUUAUUCGCAGCUUAGCAUUUUCUGUAUUAUUCAUGAG